UCAGCCUUAAGGUGCGACGCACCCUGAUGUCUGUUUAAUAUCUGAUAGGUCCCCCAGCGUGGGACUACAUAUUAAGCGGAUUUUUAGAACAGGGAGUCGGCAAAGGGGCUUGCUCCAUCCGCUCCACGCAUCGACCCAGUACUGCAUUGGCUCUGGAAGGUGUGCACUUUAA
ensembl:snRNA U2 U2 spliceosomal RNA